GACGAACGCUGGCGGCGUGCUUAACACAUGCAAGUCGAACGGAAAGGCCCUGCUUUUGUGGGGUGCUCGAGUGGCGAACGGGUGAGUAACACGUGAGUAACCUGCCCUUGACUUUGGGAUAACUUCAGGAAACUGGGGCUAAUACCGGAUAGGAGCUCCUGCUGCAUGGUGGGGGUUGGAAAGUUUCGGCGGUUGGGGAUGGACUCGCGGCUUAUCAGCUUGUUGGUGGGGUAGUGGCUUACCAAGGCUUUGACGGGUAGCCGGCCUGAGAGGGUGACCGGCCACAUUGGGACUGAGAUACGGCCCAGACUCCUACGGGAGGCAGCAGUGGGGAAUAUUGCACAAUGGGCGGAAGCCUGAUGCAGCAACGCCGCGUGCGGGAUGACGGCCUUCGGGUUGUAAACCGCUUUCGCCUGUGACGAAGCGUGAGUGACGGUAAUGGGUAAAGAAGCACCGGCUAACUACGUGCCAGCAGCCGCGGUGAUACGUAGGGUGCGAGCGUUGUCCGGAUUUAUUGGGCGUAAGGGCUCGUAGGUGGUUGAUCGCGUCGGAAGUGUAAUCUUGGGGCUUAACCCUGAGCGUGCUUUCGAUACGGGUUGACUUGAGGAAGGUAGGGGAGAAUGGAAUUCCUGGUGGAGCGGUGGAAUGCGCAGAUAUCAGGAGGAACACCAGUGGCGAAGGCGGUUCUCUGGGCCUUUCCUGACGCUGAGGAGCGAAAGCGUGGGGAGCGAACAGGCUUAGAUACCCUGGUAGUCCACGCUGUAAACGGUGGGUACUAGGUGUGGGGUCCAUUCCACGGGUUCCGUGCCGUAGCUAACGCUUUAAGUACCCCGCCUGGGGAGUACGGCCGCAAGGCUAAAACUCAAAGGAAUUGACGGGGCCCCGCACAAGCGGCGGAGCAUGCGGAUUAAUUCGAUGCAACGCGUAGAACCUUACCUGGGUUUGACAUGGAUCGGGAGUGCUCAGAGAUGGGUGUGCCUCUUUUGGGGUCGGUUCACAGGUGGUGCAUGCCUGUCGUCAGCUCGUGUCGUGAGAUGUUGGGUUAAGUCCCGCAACGAGCGCAACCCUUGUUCACUGUUGCCAGCACGUUAUGGUGGGGACUCAGUGGAGACCGCCGGGGUCAACUCGGAGGAAGGUGGGGAUGACGUCAAGUCAUCAUGCCCCUUAUGUCCAGGGCUUCACGCAUGCUACAAUGGCUGGUACAGAGAGUGGCGAGCCUGUGAGGGUGAGCGAAUCUCGGAAAGCCGGUCUCAGUUCGGAUUGGGGUCUGCAACUCGACCUCAUGAAGUCGGAGUCGCUAGUAAUCGCAGAUCAGCAACGCUGCGGUGAAUACGUUCCCGGGGCU
rnacentral:rRNA from 1 species